AGUGAAGAAAAUCGGAAGCUGCUUCUUGCUGAACAACAGCUGAUCUUUCUGAGGCCACCAAAACGGAAAAUAAAAUGAAACAGGCGACUAAUGGAUGAAAAUGACCCCGAUGAGGAGGCUACUGCAGCCAUGGCAAGUAGAGAAGUUCACAAGACCUCACAGAACAUCGCAGGCAACAGGAUUUAACUUUACAGUCUCACAGACAGGCAAUACAGUCACCAUGGCAUCAUGAAACACCCAGACCACAGAGAAAAAGCCUCUCAAGUGAUGACCGAUUAAUAAGAUUACGGUGGCUGAGAGGUCUCAACAUUCUGCAACAGAAGAAAUUGAUGCAAACAGAAAAAAAAACCCUGUAAAAUAAGAACAUCUUUAUCACAUGUGCUAAACACAACCAAAUACAUAAAUGCUCUCCAAAUGUCCGACCAACAAAUAUCUACUCGACAAUGGUGUUCAUUGUUUUAUUUUUAUUAUUAUUUAUUGUUUGCAUUGUAUUUGCAGCAUGUGUGUUGUGAAACUGAUGUCUUGACUUGCUGGUGUUUUUCUUGUUUGCAUGUUUUCUUCUGUUGCAGGACUUUGAGAUCUCUCGGCCAACAUAUUUUUGUUAAUUUUU